CAGGUGUUUUAGAGGCAGCUAAUAAUUCACUUGUUGUUACUACAACAAAACCAUCUAUAACAACACCAAACACAGAAUCAUUACAGAAAAAUGUUGUCACACCAACAACUGGAACAACUCCUAAAGGAACAAUCACCAAUGAAUUACUUAAAAUGUCUCUGAUGUCAACAGCUACUUUUUUAACAAGUAAAGAUGAAGGAUUGAAAGCCACAACCACUGAUGUCAGGAAGAAUGACUCCAUCAUUUCAAACGUAACAGUAACAAGUGUUACACUUCCAAAUGCUGUUUCAACAUUACAAAGUUCCAAACCCAAGACUGAAACUCAGAGUUCAAUUAAAACAACAGAAAUACCAGGUAGUGUUCUACAACCAGAUGCAUCACCUUCUAAAACUGGUACAUUAACCUCAAUACCAGUUACAAUUCCAGAAAACACCUCACAGUCUCAAGUAAUAGGCACUGAGGGUGGAAAAAAUGCAAGCACUUCAGCAACCAGCCGGUCUUAUUCCAGUAUUAUUUUGCCGGUGGUUAUUGCUUUGAUUGUAAUAACACUUUCAGUAUUUGUUCUGGUGGGUUUGUACCGAAUGUGCUGGAAGGCAGAUCCGGGCACACCAGAAAAUGGAAAUGAUCAACCUCAGUCUGAUAAAGAGAGCGUGAAGCUUCUUACCGUUAAGACAAUUUCUCAUGAGUCUGGUGAGCACUCUGCACAAGGAAAAACCAAGAACUGACAGCUUGAGGAAUUCUCUCCACACCUAGGCAAUAAUUACACACUCAGAAAUUUCUUGUAGAAUAAAUGGUACCUGCUGUGCUUGUCUGACCAGUAGCAGAAGACAGAGACAGAGGAGUGCCAUCCAAACAUAUGUGUCAGUAUCAGAAUUUUAUCCCUCUCUAGCCAGUAAUUAGGGAUGGAUUAGGAAUCUUGGAAUUUGUGCACCUCCAGCAUGCUGCAGUGCCCUAUGGAAAAGAGGCAAGACUGCCUUCCCCUGCCCUCCUGCUCUUCACCAGUCAUGAGCCCCUAGCUUGGGCCUGCAAUGCAACCACCUUUCCCCAGCUGAUUAUUCUAAUUGGCAGUGGCUCUGAGUGGCAUGCCAAGGUCCCUGCCCCUGCUGCCACCAAGCUGGGGAGAGAGAAAAAAUCCUAAGCUUGUCUCAGGCCUGCAGUGCACAGUCUGGGAGUGCUAAGCUGAGAUCUAUGACCAGCACUUGAGUGGGAGAGGAUCACACACUCUCAGAGCACUGAGGGGAAGCAUGGCUACAAAUGUGAGGAAACACAGAGGGGCUGCAUGGCUGGGUAAGAGCCUAUCUACCAGUCAUUAUGUUUAAGCACUAUCUAUUAAAUUGCAAACCAAACUUCAACACCAAAAAUACUUUGGUAAUAUACUCCUCUGUAAAACCAAGGACAAGAACUCAACUGCAAAUAAAGACCCUGCACAAAGCCUCAGCCCUCUGAACACAUACAGAAAUGAAACCGACUGACUAUACUCAAAUUACACUGCAAUUAAAGAAACAUCAGUCCACAUAGGUGAGAAAGAACCAGCUCAAGAACUCCUGAAACUCUAAAAGCCAGAUUGCCUCCUUACCUCCAAAUGACUGAACUAGCUGCUCUGCAGUGAUUCUUAACCAGAAUAAAAUGGAUGAAAUUACAGAAAUAGAAUUCAGAAUCUGGAUGGCAA
rnacentral:lncRNA from 1 species